rnacentral:rRNA from 1 species
UACGGGGGGGGCAAGCGUUGUUCGGAAUUACUGGGCGUAAAGGGUUUGUAGGUGGUCUGCUAAGUCAGACGUGAAAUCCCUCAGCUUAACUGGGGAACUGCGUCUGAUACUGGCGGACUUGAGGACAGGAGAGGAACGCGGAAUUCCAGGUGUAGCGGUGAAAUGCGCAGAUAUCAGGAGGAACACCGGUGGCGAAGGCGGGUCUCUGGGCCGUAACUGACGCUGAGGAGCGAAAGCGUGGGGAGCGAACAGG